rnacentral:rRNA from 1 species
AUUGAACGCUGGCGGCAGGCCUAACACAUGCAAGUCGAGCGGAUGAAGGGAGCUUGCUCCUGGAUUCAGCGGCGGACGGGUGAGUAAUGCCUAGGAAUCUGCCUGGUAGUGGGGGAUAACGUCCGGAAACGGGCGCUAAUACCGCAUACGUCCUGAGGGAGAAAGUGGGGGAUCUUCGGACCUCACGCUAUCAGAUGAGCCUAGGUCGGAUUAGCUAGUUGGUGGGGUAAAGGCCUACCAAGGCGACGAUCCGUAACUGGUCUGAGAGGAUGAUCAGUCACACUGGAACUGAGACACGGUCCAGACUCCUACGGGAGGCAGCAGUGGGGAAUAUUGGACAAUGGGCGAAAGCCUGAUCCAGCCAUGCCGCGUGUGUGAAGAAGGUCUUCGGAUUGUAAAGCACUUUAAGUUGGGAGGAGGGGCAGUAAGUUAGUACCUUGCUGUUUUGACGUUACCAACAGAAUAAGCACCGGCUAACUUCGUG